GUAGAUAUGUGGUGAAAAUGCAAAAAGAUUCCGGAAAACCUAGCAGACUAUGGAACAUGGAAGAUUUUGAAGAUGUGGUCAGCAAUACUGGGACCAUGUCAGUGGAAGCAAUAUGGUGUAGUUAUAUUAAAAAACUAUGCUUUAGCAAAGAGGCAAUGAAAAAUAUGAAAAAGCUUAGGAUAUUAUGCAUAUGUGAUGGGAACGAAUUUUGUGGAAUAACCUCCUCCUCGUUGUCUAACUCCAAUUGCCAUGACGGCUCCAUUGAGUACAUGUCCAACGACUUGUGUUAGCUUAUCUGGCAUGAAUAUCCUUGGAAGUUAUUGCCAGAAAAUUUUAAACCCAGAAGGCUUGUUCAUCUUAAUCUCCGGUGGAAUUCGUUACAUCAUUUAUGGAAUGAAACAAAGCAACUGCUGUGUCUACGGAGUCUAGGUCUAUGGGGCUCCAAAAUCCUGAAGAGAAUACCUGAUUUCAGGGGGAUGCCAAAUUUGGAGCAUUUGGAUGUACGAGUCUUGAAGAGGUUCACCAUUCCCUGGAGUAUUGCAGAAAACUCGUCCAGUUAAUUUGAAUGAGUGUAUAAGCCUUGAGAGGUUUCCAUAUGUUAAUGCAGAAUCGCUUGAAUCUGUGAAUCUAAACCACUGCUCUAGUUUAGAGAAAUUUCCAGAAUUCCUCGGAAGAAUGAAGCCGGAGUUAGAGAUUACAUUGUCAUUCUCUGGGAUAAGGGACCUGUCAUCAUUAUCGGUCAUUCAUCUCCAAACUCAUGCAUCCUAUAGAGCUAGAUUUGAGUGGCAUGAAUAACAUUGUAUCUCUUCCAAGUAGCAUUUGUAAGUUGAAAGGUUUGGUGAACCUAUAUGUGUGGAACUGCGCAAAACUUGAAAGCUUGCUAGAAGAGAUAGGUGAUUUAGAAAACUUGGAAGAGCUUGAUGCCAAAGAUACUCUAAUCUCACGACCUCCGUCUUCCAUCGUCCGGUUGAACAAACUUAAAAUAUUGACUUUUGAAAAGGAAGAAUCAGAAGAUGGAGUAUUCUUUGUGUUCCCUCAGGUGAAUGAAGGGUUACGUUCAUUGAAAUAUAUAUCUGGAUCUCAGUUACUGCAAUUUAAUAGAUGGAGGACUUCCGGAAGAUAUUGGAUCCUUAUCCUCUUUGAAAGAGUUGUAUCUCAAGGGAAAUAAUUUUGAGCAUUUGCCUCUAAGCUUAACUCAGCUUGGUUCUCUUCUAUUCUUGGACUUAUCAGAUUGCAAGAAGCUUACACAGCUGCCAGAACUUCCAAAACAACUAGAUACAAUGGCGGCAUAUUCGAUCUGUAAUUCGUUGUUUCAGAAAAUCUCAUCAUUGGCAGAAUGAUGUCUGUGCUUCAGAUCCCUUGUCACUAAUAGUGUUCACCGCUAGGGGGGAGAAUAUCCCAAGAGGGUUCCACCAUCGGGAAGACGGUAGAAUUAUAUUAAUAAAAUUGCCUGAAAAUUGGUAUAUAUAUAAGUGAUAACUUGUUGGGAUUUGCUGUAUCUUACUCUGGCAUAUUUAUU